AAUUAUCUAUGAUGGUCACAUUCAUCCAAUAGAAAAGUACAGCUAGUAAAUAGAAAAAUAAAAAAGAAAGAAAGAGGCCUAUAAUAGUGCCCUCCAUUUGAAAAGCUAGCUUGCUUAGCUAGCACUAGCUGUACGUACUACUACUACUAGCGACCUUUGUUUCGUGUUGGUUGUGCAAUGCAAGAGGCAAAGCUUCAAAAUUCCAAAUUAAUUGAGGAGCUAUGAAACACCGACCCAGACACUGACCACGAAUAUAUGUCAAACACAUCAAAUUCAACUUAGACAUGAGCGUUGAUGUCGUGUCGAUGUCGGUAUCGUGUCAGAUACUGAACACAACAAAAAACUGAAGAACUGAAAUGUCCGUGCUUCAUAGUUGAAGAGUCACCACCACCCAACUCAAUUCAUUUCACUGCUUAGAUGGGCCAAAAGAGAUUUAUGUGUGCAAUGUAUGCAGAGAGAAAAUAAAAUAAAAAGCUAAAAAAAU
rnacentral:lncRNA from 1 species